AUUGAACGCUGGCGGAAUGCUUUACACAUGCAAGUCGAACGGCAGCACGGGGGCAACCCUGGUGGCGAGUGGCGAACGGGUGAGUAAUACAUCGGAACGUGCCCAGUCGUGGGGGAUAACGUAGCGAAAGCUACGCUAAUACCGCAUACGAUCUACGGAUGAAAGCGGGGGAUCGCAAGACCUCGCGCGAUUGGAGCGGCCGAUGGCAGAUUAGGUAGUUGGUGGGGUAAAGGCUCACCAAGCCAACGAUCUGUAGCUGGUCUGAGAGGACGACCAGCCACACUGGGACUGAGACACGGCCCAGACUCCUACGGGAGGCAGCAGUGGGGAAUUUUGGACAAUGGGCGCAAGCCUGAUCCAGCCAUUCCGCGUGCAGGAUGAAGGCCCUCGGGUUGUAAACUGCUUUUGUACGGAACGAAACGGCGCUUUCUAAUACAGAGCGCUAAUGACGGUACCGUAAGAAUAAGCACCGGCUAACUACGUGCCAGCCGCCGCGGUAA
rnacentral:rRNA from 1 species